CAUUAGUCGUACUAUUAAGAAAAUUUAAUUGUAAUUUGUAUCAAAAUUUAUAUUUGUAUUUUAUAACUAAGAACUGUUUGUUUAUCUAAUUUAGUAGGUAAAAUAAUUUAUGUAUGCGUCUGAAAGACUUGUAUCCAUGGACGAAAUAAAUAAAAAAAAAAUGCUCCGAGACCGGAGACGUCACGUUACGAAUGAUGGAGAAAAGUUGUCAAAUAUAUAUCGAUAUAUCAAUGCAAAGAGAAAUAUAAUGUAUCAAUGUUUUUGGACAAUGUAUUUCAAUUAUUGUGGCGAAGCUAAAUUAAAUUAUGCUGAUUAUAUUUAGUACAUAACUAUAUAAAAUUAAUUGAUGAUGUCAGUAGGACACAACAGCAUUCGGAUUUCGACAAGACGUUUUGUAAGAUUGUUGAUGUUUGAGACACCUUCGCCCCUUAAAUUUGCCCAUGCACUCAACUACGGAUUGCCUACUGGAAUUUGCGAUAUGUUUUUGAAAAACGUUGUUCAAGGUAUCAAUCAGAAUUCGCAAUUUAUAUAAUUUUUCAAGAUUGGCCGAAGUUCUUGGUGGUUCCUCUGCGUUAUUCCGUAAAUCAGUUGCGGUUGUAACUGGAAGGGUCAAGAAUAAAAAGCAUGCUGUGAUUACCUCGGGAAAACUAGAUGCAAGACUAUUGAAUUUUACUAGCAAUAAUUCAAUGAGUUCUUUCAUGGAAUAAAUUUUUUGAAUUUCAGAUUUUAAGCAUGUUUUUAGAGCCUUUAAUUGGUCACAAAGAUUAACUGAGA
rnacentral:lncRNA from 1 species